CUUGCAAGCUCCUCUUUGGUCUUGCACAGAGCAGCUAACCUUUCAACUACCUGCUUUCUUUGUUUCAAGUGAGAAAAAUUAAAAUCCAGAGCCUUAUUCCAGUGAAUACGUGACAAACGGCUCUCUGCAACAGAGAGCAACGUCCUGCAAAAAGGCCCAGUGAGUGAGUAAUGGCUUGUCUUCAGAACGUAUCCAGUGAACGGGUGCUUCUCGGAGGAUUAAAAAGUAUGAUGUGAUGAUAGAAUCCGUCCUGGGACAUCCUUCUGGCAUUUGAACUGAUUGAGUUUGGAGGAAUUGCUUCCAAAGGUAUAAUUUCUA
rnacentral:lncRNA from 1 species